CUUAAGCAUAUCAAUAAGCGGAGGAAAAGAAACCAACAGGGAUUGCCCUAGUAACGGCGAGUGAAGCGGCAACAGCUCAAAUUUGAAAUCUGGCUCUUUCAGGGUCCGAGUUGUAAUUUGCAGAGGGCGCUUUGGCUUUGGCAGCGGUCCAAGUUCCUUGGAACAGGACGUCACAGAGGGUGAGAAUCCCGUACGUGGUCGCUAGCUAUUGCCGUGUAAAGCCCCUUCGACGAGUCGAGUUGUUUGGGAAUGCAGCUCUAAAUGGGAGGUAAAUUUCUUCUAAAGCUAAAUACUGGCCAGAGACCGAUAGCGCACAAGUAGAGUGAUCGAAAGAUGAAAAGCACUUUGGAAAGAGAGUCAAACAGCACGUGAAAUUGUUGAAAGGGAAGCGCUUGCAGCCAGACUUGCUUGCAGUUGCUCAUCCGGGCUUUUGCCCGGUGCACUCUUCUGCAGGCAGGCCAGCAUCAGUUUGGGCGGUGGGAUAAAGGUCUCUGUCACGUACCUCUCUUCGGGGAGGCCUUAUAGGGGAGACGACAUACCACCAGCCUGGACUGAGGUCCGCGCAUUCGCUAGGAUGCUGGCGUAAUGGCUGUAAGCGGCCCGUCUUGAAACACGGACCAAGGAGUCUAACAUCUAUGCGAGUGUUUGGGUGUCAAGCCCGAACGCGUAAUGAAAGUGAACGGAGGUGGGAACCCGCAAGGGUGCACCAUCGACCGAUCCUGAUGUCUUCGGAAGGAUUUGAGUAAGAGCAUGGCUGUUGGGACCCGAAAGAUGGUGAACUAUGCUUGAAUAGGGUGAAGCCAGAGGAAACUCUGGUGGAGGCUCGCAGCGGUUCUGACGUGCAAAUCGAUCGUCAAAUUUGGGCAUAGGGGCGAAAGACUAAUCGAACUAUCUAGUAGCUGGUUCCUGCCGA
rnacentral:rRNA from 1 species